rnacentral:rRNA from 1 species
AACCUACCGAAAGGUGGACUAAUCCCGCAUACGACCAACAUACAUAUGUAUAUUGGGGAAAGAUGGCCUCUUCUUGAAAGCUAUCGCUAUUGGAUGGGCCCGCGUUGGAUUAGCUAGUUGGUAGGGUAAUGGCCUACCAAGGCUACGAUCCAUAACUGGUUUGAGAGGACGACCAGUCACACUGGAACUGAGACACGGUCCAGACUCCUACGGGAGGCAGCAGUGAGGAAUAUUGCGCAAUGGGGGAAACCCUGACGCAGCGACGCCGCGUGAGUGAUGAAGGCCUUCGGGUUGUAAAGCUCUGUCAGAGGGGAAGAAAGGAGAAGUAGCUAAUAUCUGCUUCUAUUGACGGUACCCUUGGAGGAAGCACCGGCUAACUCCGUGCCAGCAGCCGCGGUAAUACGGAGGGUGCAAGUGUUAUUCGGAUUUACUGGGCGUAAAGAGCACGUAGGCGGAUAGGUCAGUCAGAUGUGAAAGCCCGGAGCUUAACUCCGGAACUGCAUUUGAUACUACUUGUCUUGAGUAUGGUAGAGGGGGGGUGGAAUUCCCGGUGUAGAGGUGAAAUUCGUAGAUAUCGGGAGGAACACCAGAGGCGAAGGCGACCCCCUGGGCCAUAACUGACGCUGAGGUGCGAAAGCGUGGGGAGCAAACAGGGUUAGAUACCCUGGUAGUCCACGCUGUAAACGAUG